rnacentral:rRNA from 1 species
GAUGAACGCUGGCGGUAUGCUUAACACAUGCAAGUCGAACGGUAGCAUGACUUAGCUUGCUAAGUUGAUGACGAGUGGCGAACGGGUGAGUAACGCGUAGGAAUAUGCCUUAAAGUGGGGGACAACUUGGGGAAACUCAAGCUAAUACCGCAUAAUUUCUUAGGAAAAAAGCUGGGGACCUUCGGGCCUGGCGCUUUAAGAUUAGCCUGCGUACGAUUAGCUAGUUGGUAGGGUAAAGGCCUACCAUGGCGACGAUCGUUAGCUGGUCUGAGAGGAUGACCAGCCACACUAGAACUGAGACACGGUCCAGACUCCUACGGGAGGCAGCAGUGGGGAAUAUUGGACAAUGGGGGAAACCCUGAGCCAGCAAUACCGCGUGUGUGAAGAAGGCCUGAGGGUUGUAAAGCACUUUCAGUGGGGAGGAGAGUAUUUAGGUUAAGAGCUAGAAUACUGGACGUUACCCACAGAAGAAGCACCGGCUAACUCCGUGCCAGCCGCCGCCGUAA